rnacentral:rRNA from 1 species
UACAGGGGGGGCAAGCGUUGUUCGGAAUUACUGGGCGUAAAGGGCUCGUAGGCGGCCAACUAAGUCACACGUGAAAUCCCCAGGCUUAACCUGGGAACUGCGUGUGAUACUGGAUGGCUUGAAUCCGGGAGAGGGAUGCAGAAUUCCAGGUGUAGCGGUGAAAUGCGUAGAUAUCUGGAGGAAUACCGGUGGCGAAGGCGGCAUCCUGGACCGGCAUUGACGCUGAUGAGCGAAAGCUGGGGAGCAAACAGG